rnacentral:SRP_RNA from 1 species
CGUCCUGCCUUAUAUGGCGGGAUAAUAUGUGAACCGGGUCAGGCCGGAAGGAGCAGCCCUAAGCGUAUUGUGCCGUGCUUGUGAGAUACAGGAUCGAG